rnacentral:misc_RNA from 1 species
AAUCAAUAAAGGUAAAUUUAAAAAGCACAUUAAAAUAAUGUUGACGCAUCUUACAUCUUGCUUUUGGCAAUGGAAAUGAAAUCCAAACUUCAAUUAUUACAAUGACUAACACAGAUCAAUAAUAAUCGUAUCAAUAGAGCUUUCAUGUUCUUCAAGCACUAGCAAAAGCCUACAUUUUUGCAUAGAUUCUAGACAGAUAAUUGGUUGAGCCAAACUGAAAUUGAAUUAAUACAAAUAUCAACCAAGUUAAACCAUAACAUGCACCAAUGCCUGUUGAUGCAGAGGAUUGCUACCAACACCAAUAGAAUUGUGACAUAGGAUGCACAGAAACUCCAAUAGAACCACACCAUAUCAAUACCACCUUCAUCUUCCUCUUCUACAUCAAUAGAUGGUGAUGAUGGUGGAGUUUCAUCAGUUUUACAGCUCCUAUGAAUGAGUAGUCCGCAAAGGCUAGGGUUACCUUUGUAACUAUUUUCAUCAAAAGUCCCAAAUUGCUCUUUAUCAAGGACUCUACCUGACAAAUUAUUGUAUGAAACAUUGAAAGUUUCCAAAAAAUUCAGCUUAAUUAAUUCACUAGGAAUUUCACCAUUCAAACUAUUGUUGCCAAGAUCUAAGCUCUCUAAACUCCUUAAAUUUGAAAAACGGACUGGUAUAGAUCCUGUUAAGUGAUUGUUAGACAAAUUCAAUGACCGAAUUCCAUGCAGGUCUCCCAUUUCUUGAGGAAUUCUUCCACUUAACUCAUUGCAUGAUAAAUCUAUUCCUGCCAUCAAGUUGAUAAUAUCACCCCUAUAAGAGUUGUAUCUAUAUUUCAUUGCAAAUUCCACUUCCACAUAUUCUGAAGAAUCCCAAAGUGCACAAGGCAGAUCCAAGUCAAGAGUGCUAUCUUGGGGAACACAAUCGAAUCCAAUUACGUCUCUAUUAAAGUAAGCAUAACUGACUCCCAUCAUUCUAAAUGAUAUAUUAUUCCCAAAAGAUAUAUUAUUAAAACAUGAAGGUAUGGAACCUGAAAGUAAAUUACUUGAAAGAUCCAUGAUACUCACAUUUCUUGAUUCACACAACUGAUUAGGAAUACUGCCAUGCAAUUCAUUACCUCCCAAUAAAAGCACACGCAAUUCAGAGAGCUGACUGAUCCAAGAUGGAAUAUUUCCAGAAAAACUAUUAUCCCUCACAUCAAGUGCCACUAACUUAGGACUUCUAAGAAGCACAUGGGGUAUGGAUCCAUUUAGACUGUUCUUUUGUAAAAACAGGAAGCGUAAUAAUGAAGCACUGAAGCAAGAAGGCAUAGGCCCAUAUAACCUAUUGUCUGAGAGGUCUAAAAAUUCAAGACUACUCAUAUUACAUAGUUGUCUGGGAAAUAGACCUGAUACCUUAUUAUUGGAUAUGUCCAAAAAAGAUAGGGAGGAGCUGUCCAAGAAGUCCACGCCUAUCAUCACACUGAAGUUGUUGUUUUUCAUAUUCAAUGUCAUCAAGCCGCUCAAGUUCAUAUUUUGAGGUAAAAUGUUCCCCUGAAGAUUAUUGUUUGACAGAAUCAGUGUACAAUCAAAGGUACAAUUUGCAAACAGACUUCCUGGCAACUCUCCUGAGAAUUUAUUAUGGGAUAAAUCCAGAGCAGAUAGUCCUUGUAUCUCACUAAUUGAAGAAGGAACAUUACCGUUGAAAUUAUUUCUUGACAUGUUUAUAUAGAGUAGAUUUGAGAGGACCAAACCAAACUCCUUAGGCAGCACACCAGUGAUGUUGUUGCUCGAAAUAUCAAACUUAAGCAAAUCAUGCUUGUAAUUUGGUAGAUGAAAAGUUCCCGUAAAUGAGUUGUUCAUCAAAUUCAUAACUUGUAACUUGGAGUUAUUUUGUAAGAUCCAAGAGGGGAACGUCCCAAACAGCAUAUUGUGAGAGAGAUCAAUGAAGCGUAUGUCAUGCUGGUAGAGAAGAAAGCUAGGAAAUGUUUUAGUUUGCAAAUUCAGGUUGCAAUUUGGCAAGUCGAUCAACUUCAGUUGAAAUGUAGGAAACCAGGUAGGAUGUUCUGUUUCCAAUUUUAACCUACUACUUCCAGAUGACAGUUGAAAUAUCUCCAAUUUUGAGUGGUUGGCCAAAGUGCUAAAUGAGAAUAAGCCUUCGAAGUCAUUACCAGAAAGAAACAAGUACUUGAGGGAUGUGAGUUUAGAAACAACAGAUUGAAAGUUGCCACUCAACUGAUUGAAUGAAAGAUCAAGAACUUGGAGGUUGGUCAAGUUGCCAAUACAUUCCAGAAGAGGGCCAGAAAAUUGAUUUCCUCCGAGACCCAACUCAACGAGACUUUUGAAUUUGCAUAAUCCUUUAGAGAGGGAGCCGUUGAAUUGAUUGCCUCUUAAAUCCAAUACUUCCAAAUUUGUCAAAUUAUUUAAUUCUUCAAACGAGAAAGAGCCAUUGAAUCGAUUGUAACUCAUAUCCAGCAUUUUCAAAUUUUUCAAAUUAUUUAAUCCUUCAAGUGAGAGGGAACCGUUG